GAUAGGUCCUGCCCUGACAUGAAGGAACCUCAGGCCAUAAACUUCAGAAGCAUGGAUGAUGGGCAUCUGAUGUUCCCCAAAAGAAGAGAGAGCUCUUGCCUGAUGAACUAGAGACACCUGCCACGAUCGAAGGGCUCCUGAUGGUGACAACCCUGGAAAUGCCAGGGCAGAGAGGAUCCUGGUGCUGCUGCCCUGGGCAUGCCAGGUUGGCUCUGAAGGAGCAGGAGACACCGGCUGCCCUCUCCAGCUCUGGUGGCAAAGGAUCUGCAGGAAAGGUGAUGCUGUUUCACCUGCCUGACACGGGGAGGAGGGACUGGUGUCCAGAGAGCUUUUGGUUCUGCCCCAAACUUUCCUCCCAUCCCCUGGGGCUGAAUUGCUUCACUUUCAACCAAAAAGAAAACAACCCCACAGUCAGGGAACAAAAAGCAGCAGCUGAUUUGUAAAGCUUGUCCUUGGGAAUGCUCUCCACAGCCUCGUGAAUACAACGAUUUCAGCCAAAGGAUUGUCUUUCCCUGCACCUCUCGCAGCCCUGAGCACCACAUUUUACCAAUAAAGGGCUAAUGAACCACAA